CCCCCAGCACCAUCAUAGCCUUUCCCUGAUCUGCCCCUUUAAGAAAAAUCAACCCACUCUAAGCCUAACCCUUUGUACACUGACCUUACACACUGGACAAUAUUUAAGGAUCAAGGUACCAUCCUAUAAAGAGGUACCAAGGCAGAGCCAUUUUCUGGACGCCAGAUAUAAUAGUGAUCGCCUCCUUGGGAAUAUUAAAAAUACUGCUACUCCUAAGUGAUCCCUGCCUAGACAUUGGAGUUGUCCGUGAUCCCCGGAAGUGGAGGCACAGACAGAUCAGACAGACCCUCUUUGAAGAAAGGAGUGAAGUGUAAAUAGCUGGGUGAUUGAUGUGCUGUCUUUGACUGCGGAGAAAGCACUAUUUUAAUUCAAGUGGCCAGGUCAGAUGGUCACGGAGGAAGGUUGAAAGCGCCACCGCUCCUCCACCUCGCUCUGUAGCCCUGUACAAUGAUUUCAGAGGACGCAGACAAUACGGAUCAAAGCUGCACCAGGGCCAGUUUCUCUGAAGACACGUGGAAAAGAGAAGAAAUCGCCGGCAUUGUGUUGAGUUUCACGCAUUGUUUGCCUGUGGAGAACAAGGGAGCGAAUUCCCCCGAGAAGGCAAAGCACCGAACCUGGAGGGUGUGUGGGGAGAGGGGCGGGGGCGAAGGUGGGGUUCGCUCUAUUGUUCCUAAUUAAUUCUGAUUAACAACGAUUCCUAAUCAAAAAAUGUUGGCUUCAAAGUCGGAGAGCCAGGAAGACGUAAUGAGGAGUCCGCGCCACGGAUCGUGUGUAAACUGUCCCCUUCCUUUCUUCUCAGUAUAAAUAAAACGGGGCCAAUGGACGAAGACAGAACAGGGCAACCUUCUUUCGCCCUAUAUUGAGACUCGGCUACCGCAAUUAACAUUGCUGCAUAUGGAAACUUUGACGCGGAGUCGCCACGCGAGUGCCCUGGAAGCCGGGAGAGGCAGUUGACUAGAACAGCUUGUCUUGAGGCAAGAAAAGAAACACAAGAAAGUUAAAUAAAAUAAAGUGCACAUUAAGGGAAAGGCUAUGCAGGCGCACAGACUCCCCCUGAGCUGGGGGGGGGGGGUUGUUUUCCAGUUACUGGGCUGAGGAAUGUAGAUCUGACUAGGAGAGAGCCCAUAUUUCUGGGGACACCCCCCCUUCUAUUCAUUUGAAGAUACAGAUAACCCCAGGGCUGGCCCAAUCACUGGGGAAAGUGAAAGGCAAAGGGAUAAUGUUCAGGUUGGAAUCUCACUUUGCAAAAAUUGCAUCGAUGAUUACCCCGACCCCCGCGCUCCGGGAAACCUGUUCCACAUUUAAACUAACUUGCAAGUUUCAGAUUUGCGCCAGGAUCUGCAAAAAAUAAAAUACCCCCCCCCCCCGCCCCGAAGUCACUCAAAAUCAGCCCAUGCGCCCAUUGCAAGAAUCAAUCCGAAUUAUAUUGUUACAUAAACCGCGGCUGCCUUCGCUCCGGGAAGAGCAGUUGCCUUCUGGAGCGGGGUACGGAGCCUGGCUCCCAGAGCGCGGUUGUAUUAGCCUGUAGGGCACAGAGCAGCCCCCAGAACAGUGGCAUUAUUGGGGAGACCCUCCGAGGGGAAGCGGUGGAGUGGGGAGCAAGAAACGGAUGAAAGUCCGUUUCGGCUCCAGGGACAGCAGGGCAGGCUAAAGGAAGCAGAGCUCCACGUCCCAGCCUAGCACAGGGUGUAGCAAAGAACAGCCCCCCCAAACCAGCAACCCUCCCCCCAGGAAAGCAGCUGGCGGGGUGAUUCCAGCUCAGAUGCGGGAGGGCGCAAGAGGUUCUGCCUUUUGGUUUCCUACCUAAAGAAACCGACACUGGCUCUGAAAAGGUGACAGAUGCUGCUGUUCCCCCCUGUCUUUCUACAGCGCUGGCAUGUGGCAGGCAGGAGUGGCCCGUCUCGCCCAGGAAGGGUAAGGCCAGCACAUGUAACUGCCUGUGUCAUUCGACUCCCUAUAGAGGGUCCGGGGCUGAGCAUUUACAGGUGGACGGGUCCGGUCUCUGACGGUCAGGGGGGUCCGCACUUUAUCCCUGGAAUCGGAGAAGUGGGCUACAGGGGAUGAAGACAAGAUCCGCAUUGCUCCAAACGUUCUGAUUUGCGUGGUUGAAUGGGGAAAGGGGAGACCGAGAACACCCCCCCCCCCAGCACGAACCCAUAUUGCAGAACGUGGGAGCGGCGACUCUAGAUUCACUUUGUUACGUAUCCUUAACUUCACGUUUCCACCUUCCAAUUAAAGUUGCCCAAAAUUGCCCACAGCCUUAUUUGCAUGCAAGGGACUCAGUUCAAAGAUGCUAACGUAUUGUCUCCUCUUAGAACUUAACAUUUCCCUCUUCAGUUCUCACUUGAAAGAAGUUUCAGAACAGUAUUCACAGACUGUCCAAACGAACAAAACCUUCCCCUUUGCUAGGAAGAGAAAUCCGGUGUAUUCAAUCAAGGGGG